rnacentral:lncRNA from 1 species
GGAGACAGGCCACAUUUGGGCAGUACGCAUUCGGAGGGCUCUCUGGCUUUCCGAUCUUGGGUCGCUGUACUUGGCUCUGAAUACAGUCACCCCAUCAGAGUAGCAAAACACUGUGGUUGUAGUGUGAGAAUCCAAUGUUAAUGUUGGCCGAAAGCUCUUGAUUUUCUUCCCUGAGAACAUAGGCGUGAGGAUUUGGAUGUGUUUCCAAAUGCUUGUUACUCUUUGCCGUAAACCUGGAAUUUGGACCUAUGGCUGCCUGGGACUCAUACUGUCGUGGAGAAAGAUUGAAAAGUAGUUAAUGGCAGUGGUGGUAUGAAGAGGGUCUAAAAUGGCCGACUGCGGCAGGCUGGACACACCCUUCUUGUUUUGCCUGAUUUUCUGUCUGAUCUAAUGCUUUGAGACAUCUAACCAGUCAUUUACUGCAGUAGUUUUUUUUUUAACCCAUUAUUAGUAUUUCGUGUUGAUCUAAAUAUACAAUAGUGAUGGAAAGGUUAUUGUCUUUUUUCUUGUAAUAAAAGACUGAAAAUACA